AGUGAACGCUGGCGGUAGGCCUAACACAUGCAAGUCGAACGGCAGCACAGUAAGAGCUUGCUCUUACGGGUGGCGAGUGGCGGACGGGUGAGGAAUACAUCGGAAUCUACUUUUUCGUGGGGGAUAGCGUAGGGAAACUUACGCUAAUACCGCAUACGACCUACGGGUGAAAGCAGGGGAUCUUCGGACCUUGCGCGAUUGAAUGAGCCGAUGUCGGACUAGCUAGUUGGCGGGGUAAAGGCCCACCAAGGCGACGAUCCGUAGCUGGUCUGAGAGGAUGGUCAGCGACACUGGAACUGAGACACGGUCCAGACUACUACGGGAGGCAGCAGUGGGGAAUAUGGGACAAUGGGCGCAAGCCUGAUCCAGCCAUACCGCGUGGGUGAAGAAGGCCUUCGGGUUGUAAAGCCCUUUUGUUGGGAAAGAAAAGCAGCAGGUUAAUACCCCGCUGUUCUGACGGUACCCAAAGAAUAAGCACCGGCUAACUUCGUG
rnacentral:rRNA from 1 species